rnacentral:rRNA from 1 species
UACGGAGGGUGCUAGCGUUGUUCGGAAUCACUGGGCGUAAAGGGCGUGUAGGCGGUCUGUUAAGUCUGAUGUGAAAUCCCCUCGCUUAACGAGGGAACUGCGUCGGAUACUGGCAGACUCGAGUACCGGAGAGGAAGGUGGAAUUCCCGGUGUAGCGGUGAAAUGCGUAGAUAUGCGGAGGAACACCGAUGGCGAAGGCAAUCCCCUGGGCCUGCACUGACGCUCAUGCACGAAAGCGUGGGGAGCAAACAGG